CUGGGAUUUUUCAAAUGCCCACCAUGGCUGGUGAGAGGUAGUUUCAUCUGUGCAGCUCUCUGAGAGUCUUACCUGACCCAGUGCCAUUUUAUAUGGAAUUCUGGGACAGCUCUCUGCUCACUCUAAAGCCGCGUCAAUCUUCAGGUUUGGAAUUUCACAUCUGAUUGUACAACACUGUUACCUGCAGAGCACAGGCCUGAGCUUUUCAUUCCAGGUGUGCAGGCAACACUAUGGCAG
rnacentral:lncRNA from 1 species